rnacentral:misc_RNA from 1 species
UGAAUUUCUGCAUUUGUUGAUAAGAUUUUGUGUAUAUUGCUGUGUUAUUUGGAGUCAUUGAUAGAUUUUUAGAUUUUUUUUUUCUUUCUUUCAUGUAUUAGUAAAAUUCUUGACAUUUGAGCUGUCACAAUUGGAUGCAUAUGCAUAUACAGGGACACACCUUUAAUCUUGGCGAUUUUCUAUCCAUGGUUGUUUAGUCAGCUGAAGCUUUGUGUGCAUUGUGUUAGUGGGUUUUAUUUAAGGCCAGAUUUGCUUGACUUGUGCUGGAAUUCACUAGGAUAGAGGAAUUUGUGUUGAGUUAAUGGUGAACUUCUUGUAGCUAAUGCUUACUGGCUUGUGGGUUUUUUUUUUUACGUUUUCAGAAAUAACAGGAGUACAGUAUUCAUUACUAUCUCACUAGAUGCUGUAGCAAUUAUGCUGAUGUAAUUGGGAAAUAUGCCAUGUAUUAAGCUCUCGUUAUGGAGAGUCUGCUGUGGAAGAUUUUCUUUCCCCUUUGAUGGAUGACCUUCCAUAUGUAUUUUUCUGUUUAUUAUUUUUUAUGAGAAGAAAAGUAUAAAUAAUGGUAAAUAGUGGUUUUCAUGAAAAUAGCUUAGUUUUCCCUUGUAGUCAUUAGUGAAAAUUGUGGGAAUUGAUGGUGUUGCUAGUGGUUGGUGACAGCCAAGGUUGACAUACAGUGUUUGGUAAACUAACGGAAACGUGUUUAUGCGAUUUCCUUAUAAGUUUUUUCUUUUCAUUAAGUUUGUCAAAGUUCAGAAAGUGGCUUCAUCUUCCAUUUGUCCAUUAAAACAAAUGGGGUAAGAAAAGAAAAUAAACUUAGGUAGGUAGAGAUUGUUCCUUUCUAGUCCCUGAUAAUUAUCAUCUUCCUUAACUUUUUUUAAACAAAAUUUCCAGCUUAAAGAUGUUAAUUGUUCUUGAGUGUUUUCUUCUUGAGAAAUGUGUAUUAUGUUCUUGAGCUAAACUCAUGAUUGGAAUUUGGAAGACUGUACAAUGGCCAAACCAUCUUGUAUACUGCAAAAAUGUUGAAUGUCUUUUACAAAUUAUUGGGUCUUAAGUUUAGUUAUGUGGCAGGUGUUGUAUCAAGAAAGAAAUUAUUUUUCAUUUGGUAUAUUUGGUAGUUCUCAGCCCUUUAAAUUGGUAUCAGGAUUCUCGAUCUGUUGUGGCUAUUGCUGGCCUUGCUGUUGCAGUAGUAUUUACCUGGAAGCUAUUGAGGUUACCUGGUGGACCUCAUCAAAGGCGAAAAAAACGGCAACCUCCUACAACUAGUAGUUCUCUUGUCAGUACUCAAUCAAAUUCAGCAUUGAUACCAUCUGGAGUUUGUUCAUCUUCAGAGGAUUUGAGGGCACAAAAUGUUGUUGAUGAAUUCUUUCAACCAGUAAAUCCAACUUUGGGGCAUAUAGUUAGGCAGAAAUUAAGCGAAGGAAGAAAGGUCACUUGCCGUUUGCUUGGAGUAAUCCUCAAGGAAAGUACUCCAGAGGAGCUACAGAAACAAGCUACUGUGAGGUCCUCUGUGCUGGAAGUGCUGUUGGAGAUAACAAAAUUUUGUGAUCUUUAUCUCAUGGAAAGAGUUCUCGAUGAUGAGAGUGAACAAAAGGCUCUUGCAGCUUUGGAGAAUGCAGGGGUUUUCACAUCUGGUGGUUUAGUGAAAGACAAGGUUCUAUUUUGUAGUACCGAAAAUGGACGAUCAUCUUUUGUCCGGCAACUAGAGCCAGAUUGGCAUAUUGACACUAAUCCUGAAAUUGUUUCUCAGUUGGCUGUAAAUCUCCAAUGCUAGCCAUUUUUUCUUAUAAAUGUUCUGAAUAGAUGUUCAUCGAUCACUUACUGUAGUCUGUGUACUUACUGCACCACCUGCCACUUGAGUUACCAUUUUUCGUUUGUUACAGAGGUUUAUCAAAUAUCAACUUCGCAUUUCUCCCAUUAGACCCGAACGGACUGCGGCAAACGUGUUCAGCUCUCCAUCCUUGGAACAUUUCUUUGGACGUGAUUGAUGCUUCAACAGUAAAGCGUCUAAUUAUGAACCUAAAAAUAGAUUGUUCUUUUACAGCUCAAUGUUCUCUAGGAACUCUUCUACCGUUGUUGAUUUUCCAGACCACAAAUUCCUUUACUUUGUUUGAAAUUUGUGCAUCGGUUUUGGUCACAUCUGAACUUUUGGACUUGAAAUUUCACUAGAUGGAUUGAUUGAAUGUUAUUUGUAUCAGUUACAGGAAAUGUAAUCAUUGACAAUAAUUUUGGUGUUCCCAUUGGCAAGUAAAAAUAGUGUCGUCUCAUAACCUAUGGGAUUUU